UAUAUGUUGAAACAGUUUCAAAAUUAAUGUACGACAUUAGUCAUAAUUCAGCACCUAGAAAUGUAAUGGAUCUCUUUACUCAAGUUGCUACUGUUCAUUCCUAUAAUACCAAAUCCUCUACUGCUGGUAAUUAUCAGAUAAAAUCUUCUCGUACAAAUCAACAGCAUAAUGCUUUCUCUAGAGUUGGUGCUAAAGUAUGGAAUUCUGUCCCUGAACAUCUCCGCGAUCUUAAAAAAAAGGAUUUCACUAGUAAGAUUCACACUUUACUAAUCGAAAUUAUGAAUAACGAAGAUGACUAUGUUGAUCUCCCUAUGAUUUUGCAGAGAAUGUCUGUUUGAUCUUAUUUUUAAUAUUUCAUGGGUACGUUAUUAA